UCCGUAGGUGGAUAAUUAAGUCAGAGGUGAAAUCCUGCAGCUCAACUGUAGAAUUGCCUUUGAAACUGGUUAUCUUGAGUUAUUAUGAAGUAGUUAGAAUAUGUAGUGUAGCGGUGAAAUGCAUAGAUAUUACAUAGAAUACCAAUUGCGAAGGCAGAUUACUAAUAAUAUACUGACACUGAUGGACGAAAGCGUGGGGAACGAACAGGAUUAGAUACCCUGGUAGUCC
rnacentral:rRNA from 1 species